UUGCUACUUGACCUAGCGGCGGACGGGUGAGUAAUGCUUAGGAAUCUGCCUAUUAGUGGGGGACAACAUCUCGAAAGGGAUGCUAAUACCGCAUACGUCCUACGGGAGAAAGCAGGGGACCUUCGGGCCUUGCGCUAAUAGAUGAGCCUAAGUCGGAUUAGCUAGUUGGUGGGGUAAAGGCCUACCAAGGCGACGAUCUGUAGCGGGUCUGAGAGGAUGAUCCGCCACACUGGGACUGAGACACGGCCCAGACUCCUACGGGAGGCAGCAGUGGGGAAUAUUGGACAAUGGGGGGAACCCUGAUCCAGCCAUGCCGCGUGUGUGAAGAAGGCCUUUUGGUUGUAAAGCACUUUAAGCGAGGAGGAGGCUACCGAGAUUAAUACUCUUGGAUAGUGGACGUUACUCGCAGAAUAAGCACCGGCUAACUCUGUGCCAGCAGCCGCGGUAAUACAGAGGGUGCAAGCGUUAAUCGGAUUUACUGGGCGUAAAGCGCGCGUAGGUGGCCAAUUAAGUCAAAUGUGAAAUCCCCGAGCUUAACUUGGGAAUUGCAUUCGAUACUGGUUGGCUAGAGUAUGGGAGAGGAUGGUAGAAUUCCAGGUGUAGCGGUGAAAUGCGUAGAGAUCUGGAGGAAUACCGAUGGCGAAGGCAGCCAUCUGGCCUAAUACUGACACUGAGGUGC
rnacentral:rRNA from 1 species